GCCAAGGGAAUUACGAGCCCAAGCUUAAAACCCAAAGGACUUGACGGGUGCCCCAUCCACCUAGAGGAGCCUGUUCUAUAAUCGAUUCUCCCCGAUCCACCUUACCGUUUCUUGAAAACUCAGCCUGUAUACCUCCGUCGCAAGCUUACCAUGUGAACGCAUGUUCAGUGAGCUUAAAGAUUUAACAUCCACACGUCAGGUCAAGGUGCAGCCUACGAAACGGAAAGAAAUGGGCUACAAUCUCUACUCUAGAACAAACGGAAGACUGCAUGCAACACAGUCAUUAAGGCGGAUUUAGUAGUAAAAAGAAAAUAGAGAGUUCUUUUUAAUUAGGCGCUGGGACGCGUACACACCGCCCGUCACCCUCUUCAAAUAGCAUAUACUACGUCACUAACACCAUAUAGCCUUAAUAGAAGAGGCAAGUCGUAACACGGUAAGCGUACUGGAAAGUGCGCUUGGAAUAACAAAAUGUAGCUUAAUAAAAGUAUCCUGCUUACACCAAGAACAUGUCCGUGAAAUCCUGACCAUUUUGAGCUAAAAAUCCAGCCCUACUAACUCAAAUGAGAUAACUUAACUAAACAAAACAGACAAAACAGUUUUAAGAA
rnacentral:rRNA from 1 species